CCUCCCGUUUCCACAAAUUUCGCAAAACCUCUUCUAAAACCCCUCUUCGUCUUCCUCGUUCUCUGCAACUCCAGGACUGGACAAUGGGUUGAAGCAGGGCGCGCGUUGGGUAUCAUCGGUUCCACCUUCUAACCUGUGUAUCCUUAUGCGUUGGUCUCGUCACGAGGUUGCUCGUGAAAAAUUCUGUUCUUGCUUCCUCUAUAUAGCACGACCUUCAUAUCUUGUACUUAAAAGUAGCCGCUGUACGGGUUCUGUUAAUACUGCUAUUAGCUACAGGAGAGAGUAUAACAGCUGGGCAUUGUCAGAAUCACAUAGUGAGAGGCUUUCUAACCACAGUCAAGUCGUAAAUCUUCCAUCUAGGAGGGAGUUGAGCAAUCUGGGUUAUUCUCUGAAAGUUGCGCGUAGUGAACCGUACUCUAUUCUCAAAGCCCCUGCUCUUCAGCACUGGUUCAAAGAUUGGCAAGAACAAAGGAAAAAUAAGCUCACAGCAAGCACUUUUAGUUCAGCAAUUGGUUUUUGGCGUCAGCGGAGAGUCCAGCUCUGGUUAGAAAAAGUUGGCUUGAUUGAGCCAUUUUCUGGUAACUUGGCUACCUGUUGGAGUAAUAUAAAGGAAAAGGAGGCGCUUGAAUGUUACAAGCUUUUCACUGGAAAUAACAUCACGUUCCCUGAGUUUCAAGUUUAUGGAAACAAUAACUCCGAAGACAGUUGGCUUGCUGCUUCACCAGAUGGCGUAGUUGACGAACUUGUUUAUGGCUUGCCCUGCAAUGGAGUUUUGGAGAUCAAGUGCCCGUACUUCAAUGGACAUGCGAAAACAGCUUCCCCGUGGUCUCGGAUUCAUCUAAAUUACAUUCCUCAAGUGCAAGGUUUAAUGGAAAUUUUGGACAGGGAUUGGAUGGAUUUCUAUGUAUGGACUCCCAAAGGCAGCAGUCUUUUCAGAAUAUACCGCGAUAAGGAAUACUGGGAUCUUUUGAAGCUUGCUCUUUCUGAUUUCUGGUGGAAGCAUGUGCGGCCAGCAAGGGAGCUGUGUAGUAAAUACAAGAUAACUGAUCCCCUAUAUCAACUAAGAUCGUUUCGACCAGCACCGAGGCAUGAAUUAUGUAGUCGAAUUGUCUGUGAAAGCAAACGUGUUGUGGACUCGUCCAAGCUAUUGUUUUAUGAAAUUGACGGGAAACUCCAAGAUUGACAUCUGGACAGCCAUAAAAUGAGUUAUAGAAACUUUUGGUGUGGCUUAAUAUGGUUGAACAUCAUCUCAUACAUAGUGGAAGAUACGAUCAGGACUUUAAGAUACAGAAGUAUCUGUGAUAUAGCCUUGUGUUUCUGGACUUUAUGAUAGUGAACCGAUCAUUGCAGAAUGCAGGGUAAAGCUUCAGACUUUUCAUUUCACCGGACCUAAAAUGCUGGAUCCUAUCGCACCAAAAUGCAGCUUUGAGGUAUGCUGACGUAACCUAAUUGAUAAUACGAUGAGAGGAUGGGCAUCAUUCUCAUAUACUGUGAAGGAUUGUCCUAGAAAGACUGGGACAUUUGUUUAACCAUCAUUGGCCGUGAGGCUCAUGUGAGUAAAACUCCUUGACUGAGAUUUUGUUUCUUCACCUAAGAUGAGAAUGGAAAUUGGGAUCCAAGAAAACAUGGAAAUCAGUGGUUACCCGUCGUUGGAGCGGCAAAUAAUCAAAACUCGGUUUUGCUUCCUUCUCAAGGCAAAGUCAGUUGACCAUGGUCCAGGCUGUCCACCAGUUUAUCUCAAUGUGUAUGAUCAGACAAAAUGAAUGUAUAUGUUUACUUGGUUGGACCUGGCAUCAUUCACUCUGAUGAAGGGUUCAUGGUGUGGAAUAUGCAUUUGGAAUAUCCAAAAUGUUGUGAUUGAGGUUGAACCUUGGCAAUGCCCUGGCUUCAAGUUUAGAAAAUCGAUAUUCAGCAGGACCAUGUCCUUGGACCCUACUCAGGUUAGGGAGUUCAUGGAAAACCAUGCUGCAAGCUGCAAUUGUGAUACAUAUCACUUGACUUUAAGAAUUACUACACUUCAGCAAGGAUAUUUGUUACAAGCUGGCAGGGAAACUGAUUUCAAAUGGGCCAAUUGGCUUCUGAGAAUAGGUAUCCAAUUCGUACCUCACUUUUCUACGCUGAGUUUCUUCUGAAAUAUAAUGAAACCCAAAAGCAUGCUUCCCAGGGCAAAUGAGUUCAUGCUGUAUUUUUUUCUUUCUCUUUUGCUGCUUCUGCCUUUUGACACUGUACGUGUCUAUGUUGAAAAAGGAAUAAAUAAAAUACGC